GAGAAUUUGAAAUGACUGAAUAACAAUUUCUAUAAUUUUCAGAAAUGAUAGAUAACAGGCCUAAACAAAACUCAUUCUUUUUAUAAUUGGCUAAAUUUGUAAAUUUCCCUACCUUGGCUGAGAGAAGUCCUACUUCCUUAAACUGCAGCACUUCAGAGUUUCAUAAUACGCUGUCAGCAAGGCUAAUCAGAUAUUAUGACCUCGCCCAAGUAAGAAGUCCUUCAUAGACAAAGGAAAAGCCCAAAAGGAUAUGGAGAUUUUCUUCCGAAAAUUUAUCCCCAAGGAAGUUUCAUUAGAAGUGAUGGGACCACUUGAACUUUGAGAACAGAGUUUGCAUAAGCACAGGCCAGUUCUGUACUCCGAGAGGUGUGCUAGAGCUCGGUUCUGUACUCCUAAAGCAUCAGAACAGAAGAAAUACAACACAAGGCUUCUCUACCCAGUGCGGAACUGAAAGGGCACUUACUCAUUAAGACAAGAUGAGUCAAUCACUGAUGAGUACCCAGGGUGACCUCAUCACGAGCUCCUUAACUACCACAGAAAGGACCAGGAAUCAUGGCUGAGUCACAGCAUAGACUAACCAAAACCAUGCUCUUGUUUGAAAGAAUGAGACCCUUGUUCCCAGAUGCCAUCAGAGAAGGGUUUGUAACCGCAUGAUUUUACAGAAGCUCAAGACUUCCUUCCAAAAAAGCAACUCCAUGAAGUUCCCCUCCCAAUAUCAUGAAAUCUUGAAUCAGUCAUAUAUCACAGGAUUUCUCUUUUAAGAGGUUAUUAACAUUUUUGUGUGAUGGUCCCUCCUACCCAUUGGUAGUCCAGUGAAGCCUAUGGAUUCUUUUGUAAUAAAUUUUUUUUUAUUAUUUGCUA